rnacentral:rRNA from 1 species
UAGGGAAUCUUCGGCAAUGGGGGGAACCCUGACCGAGCAACGCCGCGUGAGUGAAGAAGGUUUUCGGAUCGUAAAGCUCUGUUGUUAAGGAAGAACGUGUGUGAGAGUGGAAAGUUCACACAGUGACGGUACUUAACCAGAAAGGGACGGCUAACUACGUGCCAGCAGCCGUGGUAAUACGUAGGUCCCGAGCGUUGUCCGGAUUUAUUGGGCGUAAAGCGAGCGCAGGCGGUUAGAUAAGUCUGAAGUGAAAGGCAGUGGCUCAACCAUUGUAGGCUUUGGAAACUGUUUAACUUGAGUGCAGAAGGGGAGAGUGGAAUUCCAUGUGUAGCGGUGAAAUGCGUAGAUAUAUGGAGGAACACCGGUGGCGAAAGCGGCUCUCUGGUCUGUAACUGACGCUGAGGCUCGAAAGCGUGGGGAGCGAACAGGAUUAGAUACCCUGGUAGUCCACGCCGUAAACGAUGAGUGCUAGGUGUUAGGUCCUUUCCGGGACUUAGUGCCGCAGCUAACGCAUUAAGCACUCCGCCUGGGGAGUACGACCGCAAGGUUG